GUACACGCUGUGACUAGCAUAUCAAUAAGCGGAGGAAAAGAAACUAACAAGGAUUCCCCUAGUAACGGCGAGUGAAGCGGGAAGAGCUCAAAUUUGAAAUCUUAAAGGGUUUCCCUUUACGAAUUGUAGUUUAAAGAAGUGUUUUCUGUUGAGGUUUUGGUAAAAGUUCUUUGGAAUAGGACAUCAUAGAGGGUGAGAAUCCCGUAUUUGACCUUUACUUUCAACUUUGUGAUACACUUUCAAAGAGUCGGAUUGUCUGGGAAUGCAGUCCAAAAUGGGUGGUAAAUUUCAUCUAAAGCUAAAUAUUGGCGAGAGACCGAUAGCGAACAAGUACCGUGAGGGAAAGAUGAAAAGAACUUUGAAAAGAGAGUUAAACAGUACGUGAAAUUGUCAAAAGGGAAGCGUUUGACACCAGUGUUGUUUUUCUGAAAAUCAAUUAAAGAACUGUUUAUGCUAAGUUGUUUAGACUUUAUCAGCUAACUGCUUAGUUUUGAGCUUUUCUUUAAUGCACUUUUCAGUUAACAAGUCAACAUCAAUUUCUUUUGCUGUAAAAAAGCUUGAGGAAGGUGGCUUGAGAUUCGUCUUAAGUGUUUAUAACCUCUUGCCUAUGCAGUCGGAGAGAUUGAGGUCUGCAGCGUAGAUCCUUCGGGGCUAAAUGCAUUUGUGCUAAGUUAUAGCAUUUUAUAGACAACUUGUUGACUAUGAUUUGUCUUGUAGCUUACUCGCUUAUGUUAUUUUACCUACGCUUAGGAUGUUGAACUACUGAGACAUAGA
rnacentral:rRNA from 1 species